rnacentral:rRNA from 1 species
CGUAGGUGAACCUGCGGAGGGAUCAUUGCUGGAACGCGCCCCAGGCGCACCCAGAAACCCUUUGUGAACUUAUACCUUUUGUUGCCUCGGCGCAUGCUGGCCUCUAGUAGGCCCCUCACCCCGGUGAGGAGAAGGCACGCCGGCGGCCAAGUUAACUCUUGUUUUUACACUGAAACUCUGAGAAAAAAACACAAAUGAAUCAAAACUUUCAACAACGGAUCUCUUGGUUCUGGCAUCGAUGAAGAACGCAGCGAAAUGCGAUAAGUAAUGUGAAUUGCAGAAUUCAGUGAAUCAUCGAAUCUUUGAACGCACAUUGCGCCCUCUGGUAUUCCGGAGGGCAUGCCUGUUCGAGCGUCAUUUCAACCCUCAAGCAUUGCUUGGUGUUGGGGCACUGCUUCUAACGAAGCAGGCCCUGAAAUCUAGUGGCGAGCUCGCCAGGACCCCGAGCGCAGUAGUUAAACCCUCGCUCUGGAAGGCCCUGGCGGUGCCCUGCCGUUAAACCCCCAACUUUUGAAAAUUUGACCUCGGAUCAGGUAGGAAUACCCGCUGAACUUA